CCCUGCAAGAAAUUAAAAAAUAUUUCUCCUCUCAGCUUAUAACACUAGAAAUAUGGUAAUAAAUAGGUUUUAAUUAAAUUUAAAAUUAUUUAAUAAUUUUAAUUAAAAUAUUACAAUCGCCCAUACGUCAUCAUCCCGAGAUCACAAACUUGUUUUCAUACUAUUCGCUAACAAUUCAAACAAACUUUUUUCCAUAUUGACAGAAUUUCUCCACCCUCGUAGUCAAAUAUAGAUAAUAUAAAAAGAAAUAAAUAUGCAUAAACAAGUUUGUAUUUGAAAAGAAAAUGCUCAAUUAGUUCAACAUGUAGUUCUUAUGGAACCCAUCUAUCGAGAUAUAUGCAUUACUUUACUAAAAUGUUAAAUUUAAUUAAAUGCUGUAGAUCUAUAUGAUUCACAAAAUUGAUGUUAGAUAGUUACCUUAUUUCUUCGGGAAUGGAUGUGGGACGUCAUGACAAAUAAAGAGAUAAAUGAUAUUCCCAGCAAAAUCAUAGACCUCCUCAAUUGUCAUGAGGUCCCACACAAUUUCAACCUAUCAAAAUAAGACAAUUAUAUGUUGGUGGAGGAUGCUAU
rnacentral:lncRNA from 1 species